GUAGGUGAACCUGCGGAAGGAUCAUUACAGAGUUAGGGUCUUUUCAGGCCCGAUCUCCAACCCUAUGUGUACCUACCUCUGUUGCUUUGGCGGGCCCGUUGGGGCGACCCACCGGCGGCCUUUGGCUCCCGAGUGCCCGUCAGAGACCCAUCAAAACCUGUUAACUGCGUCGUCUGAGUACCAACAUAUAAUAAUUAAAACUUUCAACAACGGAUCUCUUGGUUCUG
rnacentral:misc_RNA from 1 species